rnacentral:rRNA from 1 species
UACGGAGGGUGCAAGCAUUAAUCGGAAUUAUUGGGCGUAAAGGGCGCGUAGGCGGAUUUAUAAGUCAGAUGUGAAAUUCCAAAGCUCAAUUUUGGAGCUGCAUUUGAAACUGUAAGUCUUUAGAGGGUAGACGGAGAAAACGGAAUUCCACAUGUAGCGGUGAAAUGCGUGGAUAUGUGGAAGAACACCGGUGGCGAAAGCGGUUUUCUAGUUUACACCUGACGCUGAGGCGCGAAAGCAAGGGGAGCAAACAGG